rnacentral:rRNA from 1 species
GUGCCAGCCGCCGCGGUAAUACGUAGGUCCCGAGCGUUGUCCGGAUUUAUUGGGCGUAAAGCGAGCGCAGGUGGUUUAAUAAGUCUGAUGUAAAAGGCAGUGGCUCAACCAUUGUGUGCAUUGGAAACUGUUAGACUUGAGUGCAGUAGAGGAGAGUGGAAUUCCAUGUGUAGCGGUGAAAUGCGUAGAUAUAUGGAGGAACACCGGUGGCGAAAGCGGCUCUCUGGACUGUCACUGACACUGAGGCUCGAAAGCGUGGGUAGCAAACAGGAUUAGAUACCCUGGUAGUCCACGCCGUAAACGAUGAGUGCUAGUUGUUUGGGGCUAUCCAGCCCUAAGUGACGCAGCAAACGCAUUAAGCACUCCGCCUGGGGAGUACGACCGCAAGGUUGAAACUCAAAGGAAUUGACGGGGGCCCGCACAAGCGGUGGAGCAUGUGGUUUAAUUCGAAGCAACGCGAAGAACCUUACCAGGUCUUGACAUACUCGUGCUAUUCCUAGAGAUAGGAAGUUCCUUCGGGACACGGGAUACAGGUGGUGCAUGGUUGUCGUCAGCUCGUGUCGUGAGAUGUUGGGUUAAGUCCCGCAACGAGCGCAACCCCUAUUGUUAGUUGCCAUCAUUAAGUUGGGCACUCUAGCGAGACUGCCGGUAAUAAACCGGAGGAAGGUGGGGAUGACGUCAAAUCAUCAUGCCCCUUAUGACCUGGGCUACACACGUGCUACAAUGGUUGGUACAACGAGUCGCAAGGCAGUGAUGUCAAGCUAAUCUCUUAAAGCCAAUCUCAGUUCGGAUUGUAGGCUGCAACUCGCCUACAUGAAGUCGGAAUCGCUAGUAAUCGCGGAUCAGCACGCCGCGGUGAAUACGUUCCCGGGCCUUGUACACACCGCCCGU